CAUAAUAAACACAAAGUGUGUAUGAAUGUUUGUGUGUGCGUGCAUCUGUGUGUGUCUCGGUGUAUUUUCCUGAUUCACCCGGCAACAAGCUGAGUCACCACUACACCAGCCUUCCUACCAACCUUGUUCCCAUGGCUACCAGCAUGCCACAAUGGUUUGUCUGUUCUUCAGUAUUACCUGAUGAUGACAUCAGUUGCUGUCUCUACAGACUGUAUAUAGUAAGCCAUGAGACUGAACAUGGAGAAGAAAUCACUCAGUUGUUGGUGAAGAAAAAGCACCAGGAAAUUAUUUCCCAGGUGGCUCAUUCUAACUUGAUGGCCGGUUAAAUGAGAUAUGAUAACACUCAGGAUAGAACAAUGACCUGGGUUGUGUUGUAUUGUGCUUAUAUGUCCUGAAUUACAACUAGUUAAUAAGCUGUCAAUUCCAAAAGAUACUUUGCCAUAAAUAGAGGUCUCAUUUGAUCAUUGUAGGAUGGGUCAUCUCACCAAAGUGUGCAAAAAUGAUGUUUUGUGUUGGUUUUGCUGUGCAACGGAAUGUCCUAAAGCAAUCCCUUUACACGACAUCUCUGUAAAGGCGGUGACCUAAGUAUGAACUGCUGGAUAUUAGACAAAGCAUGUAAAAUUCAUGACUUGUAGGUUCAUGCACAAUGAUGAAUUCAGUGGCUCAACUUUAUGUUGUUUGCAGUAUAGGAGUUGUUGGUGGGUUCCAUGGGAUUUCCGCCCUUUGAGCUGCUGUUUAGCAAAAAAAAAAAGAAACCCUUGUUGGCUACUUUAGGAAAACUGGGAGGGAGGGCAGGGGGGAAAUUAAAUUCAGUAUUGUGAAAAAGAUUUUGUUUAUUAUUCAAAUAUGCUUUGCUUGUAACUGUGUAAACCUCUGAAUGAUAUGCUGUGAUUGUGUAAACUCUGAAUGACGAUUCACCCCGAUAAACAUGAAGCUUUGCUAUGCUUAUCAUAUGCCUGUGAAGACAAGUUCCUGUGUAAAGAGGAACGGAAAGUUCCACUUAAGCAGAUGUUUAGUAUAGUAUGGACUGAACGUUUUAGCAAGAUAUGCAUUUGUCUGUUAAGCAAUCUAUGUUCUUUAGCAAGAUAUACAUUUGUAAUCUAUAUUCUGGGAACAGGCGGAGACUGCCUCCGCCCUGUUGAGUAACCUACAUGCCUAUAUAACCUGCAAUAAAGAAGAGUACUGGUGUGACUCUCAUUAGAGACGUUCACCCCAUGUACAUGUGAUUG